GAUUGUGAAGAACUUUACGGAGGGAAAACACAAUGCACUGAGUGGCGGACGGGUGAGUAACGCGUAGGGAACCUGGCCCUUACAGGGGGAUAACAGAUGGAAACAACUGCUAAUACCGCAUAAGCGCCCAGCCUCGCAUGAGGCAGAGUGAAAAACUAAGGUGGUAAGGGAUGGCCCUGCGUCCGAUUAGCUAGUUGGUAUGGUAACGGCAUACCAAGGCGACGAUCGGUAGCCGGCCUGAGAGGGUGGACGGCCACAUUGGGACUGAGACACGGCCCAAACUCCUACGGGAGGCAGCAGUGGGGGAUAUUGCACAAUGGGGGAAACCCUGAUGCAGCGACACCGCGUGGGUGAGGAAGCGCUUCGGCGUGUAAAGCCCUAUCAGUGGGGAAGAAAAAAGACGGUACCCAAAGAAGAAGCACCGGCUAAAUACGUGCCAGCAGCCGCGGUAAUACGUAUGGUGCAAGCGUUAUCCGGAAUGACUGGGUGUAAAGGGAGCGUAGACGGUUGUACAAGUCUGAUGUGAAAGCCCACGGCUCAACUGUGGGAGUGCAUUGGAAACUGUAGAACUAGAGUAUCGGAGAGGCAAGUGGAAUUCCUAGUGUAGCGGUGAAAUGCGUAGAUAUUAGGAGGAACACCAGUGGCGAAGGCGGCUUGCUGGACGAAAACUGACGUUGAGGCUCGAAAGCGUGGGGAGCAAACAGGAUUAGAUACCCUGGUAGUCCACGCUGUAAACGAUGAAUACUAGGUGUUGGGGCCCGAAGGGCGUCGGUGCCGUCGCAAACGCAGUAAGUAUUCCACCUGGGGAGUACGU
rnacentral:rRNA from 1 species